UGGAACAUUUAGACACUUUGAUGUGACUAAAAACUCCAAUAUAUCUCUGUCUCCUCUUUUAAGUCUCAAAGCUCCAACUAAAACAUAUCUCUGAUGUUGUCCUUCUCUCUCCAGGUUGGGGGAGGAUCAUCUUUGUGCCCGUGGGUUUAGCAGCUCUCAUAAUAAUUGUUGUGGCGGUCAACAUGUGGAUGAGAGCUAAAGAGAAGAAAACACAGACGGAGGAAAUCGCUGUGCGUUAUGAUGUAGAUGAUGAUACAGUGAACUAUGAAAACAUCAGAUCUCCUGAUGGAGUUUGACCAACACUUCUGCCUCCAUCAGACUCCACUGAUCAACUCGUCACCUUCUACUGGAGUAGUUCAAGACUGGAAAUAACAAAAAGAAUCAUUAAGGCUUAUUUUAUUUUAGUCUGAUGUAUUUUCCUGCAUCAAUUGUAAAAA